AGUGAACGCUGGCGGUAGGCCUAACACAUGCAAGUCGAACGGCAGCACAGUAAGAGCUUGCUCUUACGGGUGGCGAGUGGCGGACGGGUGAGGAAUACAUCGGAAUCUACUUUUUCGUGGGGGAUAACGUAGGGAAACUUACGCUAAUACCGCAUACGACCUACGGGUGAAAGCAGGGGAUCUUCGGACCUUGCGCGAUUGAAUGAGCCGAUGUCGGAUUGGCUAGUUGGCGGGGUAAAGGCCCACCAAGGCGACGAUCCGUAGCUGGUCUGAGAGGAUGAUCAGCCACACUGGAACUGAGACACGGUCCAGACUCCUACGGGAGGCAGCAGUGGGGAAUAUUGGACAAUGGGCGCAAGCCUGAUCCAGCCAUACCGCGUGGGUGAAGAAGGCCUUCGGGUUGUAACGCCCUUUUGUUGGGAAAGAAAAGCAGCAGGUUAAUACCCCGCUGUUCUGACGGUACCCAAAGAAUAAGCACCGGCUAACUUCGUG
rnacentral:rRNA from 1 species